GCCAAGCAUGGUGGCUCAUGCCUGUAAUUCCUGCUACCGGGAGAGGCCUAGGCUAUCUUGGAUCCCUUGAGCUCAGGUUUUGAGCUGCAGUUGCACUAAAGCUGAUCAAGUGUCUGGCACCAAUAUGGUAGACUUCCUAGAAGAAGAGGGCCUCCAGGUUGCUUAAGGAGGGGGCAAUCCAGUCCAGGUUAGAAAAACGGAGCAGGUUAAAGCAACUAUGCUGAUCAGUAUUGGGAUAUUGAUGGCCCAGUACACUUCCAGCCCGGGCAAGAUGGGGAGACCCAGUCUCA
rnacentral:SRP_RNA from 1 species